rnacentral:rRNA from 1 species
ACGGCUCAGUAACACGUGGAUAACCUACCCUUGAGACGGGGAUAAACCCGGGAAACUGGGUAUAAUACCCGAUAGAUCUCGACUGCUGGAAUGCAUCGAGCUUGAAAGCUCCGGCGCUCAAGGAUAGGUCUGCGGCCUAUCAGGUAGUAGUGGGUGUAGCGUACCUACUAGCCUACGACGGGUACGGGUUGUGAGAGCAAGAGCCCGGAGAUGGAUUCUGAGACACGAAUCCGGGCCCUACGGGGUGCAGCAGGCGCGAAAACUUUACAAUGCUGGAAACAGCGAUAAGGGGACCUCGAGUGCCAGGUUACAAAUCUGGCUGUCGUGAUGCCUAAAAAGCAUUGCAUAGCAAGGGCCGGGCAAGACCGGUGCCAGCCGCCGCGGUAACACCGGCGGCUCGAGUGGUAACCGUUAUUAUUGGGUCUAAAGGGUCUGUAGCCGGCCGGAUAAGUCUCUUGGGAAAUCUGGCAGCUUAACUGUCAGGCUUUCAGGAGAUACUGUCUGGCUCGAGGCCGGGAGAGGUGAGAGGUACUUCAGGGGUAGGGGUGAAAUCUUGUAAUCCUUGAAGGACCACCAGUGGCGAAGGCGUCUCACCAGAACGGACCUGACGGCAAGGGACGAAAGCUAGGGGCACGAACCGGAUUAGAUACCCGGGUAGUCCUAGCCGUAAACGAUACUCGCUAGGUGUCGGCAACGGUGCGACCGUUGUCGGUGCCGUAGGGAAGCCGUGAAGCGAGCCACCUGGGAAGUACGGCCGCAAGGCUGAAACCUAAAGGAAUUGGCGGGGGGCAC